GACGAACGCUGGCGGCAUGCCUAACACAUGCAAGUCGAGCGAUGAAGCCCGCCGGGGUGGAUUAGCGGCGGACGGGUGAGUAACACGUGGGUAACCUGCCUCAAAGAGGGGGAUAGCCUCCCGAAAGAGAGAUUAAUACCGCAUAACAUUAGUUUUUCGCAUGAAGAACUAAUUAAAGGAGAAAUCCGCUUUGAGAUGGACCCGCGGCGCAUUAGGUAGUUGGUGAGGUAAAGGCACGCCAAGGCGACGAUCAGUAGCCGACCGGAGAGGGUGAUCGGCCACGUUGGAACUGAGAGACGGUCCAGACUACUACGGGAGGCAGCAGUGGGGAAUAUUGCAUAAUGGGCGAAAGGCUGAUGCAGCAACGCCGCGGGAGUGAUGAAGGCCUUCGGGUUGUAAAGCUCUGUCUUUUGGGACGAUAAUGGCGGUACCAAAGGAGGAAGCCACGGCUAACUACGUGCCAGCCGCCGCCGUAAGAC
rnacentral:rRNA from 1 species